rnacentral:lncRNA from 1 species
UCGUUGUCAACUUCCGACGACCAGCUCGUCUCCGCCAAACCAGUCCAGCCGAACUACCAAAUGACCACCUUCAACCCCUCCACAACCAGCUCGUCCAUCGACCCCAUCUCCCUCACGUCGAACCAGCAGCAGCUCGACGCCAUAGCUGCUAAACCAUCCCAUCGCGAACCAACCAGCCCUCUCCACACGACCGCCGGACAGCCCCCACCAGUAGCUAGCGUCGUCCAGCCCUUCCCCCACAAACAGCCAGCAACGCCAGUGUGACGACCCGACCCGUUGUUUCUUGUAUCCGUCCCGUUUUCCCAUUUUAUGCUUCUUCAUGUGUUGUUAUAUGUGUUUGGUGAGUUUGAAGUGUUUCGGAUCGAAUUUGGAUAGAAAUGAGACAAAUAGUCUCUUUAAGGAAAG